UUGAUCCUGGCUCAGGACGGGCGGCGUGCCUAAUACAUGCAAGUCGAACGCACUCUCGUUUAGAUUGAAGGAGCUUGCUCCUGAUUGAUAAACAUUUGAGUGAGUGGCGGACGGGUGAGUAACACGUGGGUAACCUGCCCUAAAGUGGGGGAUAACAUUUGGAAACAGAUGCUAAUACCGCAUAAAACCUAACACCGCAUGGUGUAGGGUUGAAAGAUGGUUUCGGCUAUCACUUUAGGAUGGACCCGCGGUGCAUUAGUUAGUUGGUGAGGUAAAGGCUCACCAAGACCGUGAUGCAUAGCCGACCUGAGAGGGUAAUCGGCCACACUGGGACUGAGACACGGCCCAGACUCCUACGGGAGGCAGCAGUAGGGAAUCUUCCACAAUGGACGAAAGUCUGAUGGAGCAACGCCGCGUGAGUGAAGAAGGUUUUCGGAUCGUAAAACUCUGUUGUUGGAGAAGAAUGUAUCUGAUAGUAACUGNNCAGGUAGUG
rnacentral:rRNA from 2 species